GAUGAACGCUGGCGGCGUGCCUAAUACAUGCAAGUCGAGCGAACGGACGAGAAGCUUGCUUCUCUGAUGUUAGCGGCGGACGGGUGAGUAACACGUGGAUAACCUACCUAUAAGACUGGGAUAACUUCGGGAAACCGGAGCUAAUACCGGAUAAUAUUUUGAACCGCAUGGUUCAAAAGUGAAAGACGGUCUUGCUGUCACUUAUAGAUGGAUCCGCGCUGCAUUAGCUAGUUGGUAAGGUAACGGCUUACCAAGGCAACGAUGCAUAGCCGACCUGAGAGGCUGAUCGGCCACACUGGAACUGAGACACGGUCCAGACUCCUACGGGAGGCAGCAGUAGGGAAUCUUCCGCAAUGGGCGAAAACCUGACGGAGCAACGCCGCGUUAGUGAUGAAGGUCUUCGGAUCGUAAAACUCUGUUAUUAGGGAAGAACAUCUGUGUAAGUAACUGUGCACAUCUUGACGGUACCUAAUCAGAAAGCCACGGCUAACUACGUG
rnacentral:rRNA from 1 species